AUGGAUUAUUUGGGCUUCUAUAGUUUAUAGUUGGGUUUCGUCUUUUUGUUUGGGCUUAUAACUAAACAACCCAGCUGAUUGUCUUUUACCUUUUCUUCACGAACGGCGAAACCAGGGUUCAUCGUGUUAUUCAUUUGUUACUAGCUAAAGCUACAAUGGUGUCCAUUUGGGGAUCCUUCAGAAACUUUCUUAUUCGCGACAGACGGUGGUGAAAAUUAGGGUUAGCCGUUAUCUUCACAAUGAGUGAGCUUGAGCAACAAUGGCGAUCUAGUUGAGUCAGACGCAUCGUCGUUUCGUAUUUGGUCCUUAACCCCAGACGUUACGACUCUCUUCUUUCAUCAGCUUUAAGAGAUGUCUUAACUCCACCGAUGCAAUCAAACACGACGUCUCAUUCAAUCAUACUCAUUCAGCUCCAAGGUCGUUUUCUUUACUUAUAUAAAAGGUGUGGAUGCUCCAAUUCUGGGAGGCCGGAAAAGCACAACGCGGUGACGAGUUAAUGGGAGUUGAUAUGCUCCUCUUCGAUGUGAAGUCAACCCUCAUGCCAGCCACCGUGAACGUUCACCGGCUAGCCAAUUUCAGGGAUCGUCUCCAGGCUGCGGAUUUGAUAUCACUCGGUGCAACCAGAACUUCAGGCUUUCAGACUCACUUAUGACAAUACUGUUCAGUGAUUCAACCAAUCUAGAUGUGCUAACCGAACCAUAUUCACCCAUUCCUGUAAAACGUUUCAGGUUCCGUGAUUAGCCAACACCAACACCUCUUCCAUGAACGUUAUUGGUGAGCUCACUGCUGUGAAAAGUACAGUGAGUGACAUUUCGUCUAGCGAGUUAUGGGACUAUUAAGAUCGACAAGUAACUCUCUUCUACAUAUGAAUCUAUUCAAUACUUUCAUAAAUUUUCUUACUUUUCUUUUGAUACAUUGACCGUUUUAUGUUCUAUCUUCCUUUUCAUAGUAAUAUCUCUCACUUUGAGUCUGAUUGACUCACAAGAUGUCUCUUUUCACAAGAAACUUGAAGGAUUCCUGGGGGAUCCAAGGGUUGUUGUUACAAGUAGCAUAAACCCAAAGAUGGUCGGAAGUAUAUUUCUGUCUGGAAUUAAAUACACAUAAUGCAUAGGAUCAGUUAUACUAAUUUUAAACUUUAGUGCUUACAUGUGAGGAGGCCUAAUAUUCUUGAAACACAGAUUGAAUAUUUUUCUGCAGGACGUUUGUUCUUGAAUGCCACCUCGGGAACAGAUUUAUUUUCCGACAAGGCAACUGAUGCAGGGGAAAUUCAAUUUUAGGACACAUGCUGGUUUCCAAAGCCAUUGGGAUCACCCCUGUUCCAUCAUUGCUGAGAGUCUAUGCAAAGGUUCAAAAUAUAAGAUUGAAUUUGUCUGCACUGGAAUGGUGACUGAUAUCAAACUGGAGAAAGGCUGGUGUUACGUCUCUUGCUCAAGGUGCACAAAGAAGCUCCAACGAACGGUGUCAUCCUUGCGUGACCUGCAGUAACACCACGCAUCAAACCAUUGCAGGAACAUCUCUAAGUGGUCGCCAUCAAGAAACCUUAGGCAUCAAAGUCUUCAAAGGUGGUCAAGAAGCCACGUAAGGAAUAAGUGAAGAUAAAGGGUUGUGAUGCGGAAGGAGUACUUGCUGUUUCAAUAAUGAUUGUGUUAACGUGGGUUUUCUUUUAAACUAUGUACCUCUUAUGGAGUUUGGUAUGUUUUAAAAAAAAUCUAAAACUAUAAUAAAAAUGCCUUUUUGGACUUUAUCAUCA